CUGCUAUCGGGAUAGGACUAAGACAUGCUAGUCAGGCGCUCUCUAGCCAAUGUGAGAGUGCGGCGCACAGCUCAGUAACACGUGGCUAACCUGCCCUUAGGACGGAGACACCCCCGGGAAACUGGGGUUAAUCCCCGAUAGGUGAAGAACUCUGGAAUUAGUCUUUGCCUAAAAGACGCUCACGCUAUGCUUGUGGGCGCCGCCUAAGGAUGGGGCCGCGACCGAUCAGGUUGUUGGUGAGGCAAAGGCUCACCAAGCCUUUUACCGGUGCGGGCCGUGGGAGCGGGAGCCCGGAGAUGGGCACUGAGACAAGGGCCCAGGCCCUACGGGGCGCAGCAGUCGCGAAAACUUUGCAAUACACGAAAGUGUGACAGGGCUAUCCCGAGUGCCAUCCGCUGAGGAAGGCUUUUACCCAGUGUAGAAAGCUGGGAGAAUAAGGAGAGGGCAAGACUGGUGUCAGCCGCCGCGGUAAUACCAGCUCUCCGAGUGGUGUGGAUGUUUAUUGGGCCUAAAGCAUCCGUAGCUGGCUGGGCAAGUCCCCUGUUAAAUCCACCGAUUCAAUCGUUGGUGUGCGGGGGAUACUGUUCGGCUAGGGGACGGGAGAGGCCGACGGUAUUUUCGGGGUAGGGGUGAAAUCCUAUAAUCCCGGGAAGACCACCAGUGGCGAAGGCUGUCGGCUAGAACGCGCCCAACGGUGAGGGAUGAAAGCUGGGGGAGCGAACCGGAUUAGAUACCCGGGUAGUCCCAGCUGUAAACGAUGCAGGCUAGGUGUUUGGGCGGCCACGUGCCGCUCUAGUGCCGCAAAGAAGUUGUUAAGCCUGCCGCCUGGGGAGUACGGCCGCAAGGCUGAAACUUAAAGGAAUUGGCGGGGGAGCACCACAAGGGGUGAAGCUUGCGGUUUAAUU
rnacentral:rRNA from 1 species